UACGUAGGGGGCUAGCGUUGUCCGGAAUCAUUGGGCGUAAAGCGCGCGUAGGCGGCCCGGUAAGUCCGCUGUGAAAGUCAAAGGCUCAACCUUUGAAUGUCAGCGGAUACUGCCGGGCUAGAGUCCGGAAGAGGCGAGUGGAACUCCUGGUGUAGCGGUGGAAUGCGCAGAUAUCAGGAAGAACACCCGUGGCGAAGGCGGCCCCCUGGGUCGGCCCUGACGCUGAGGCGCGAAAGCGUGGGGAGCGAACGGG
rnacentral:rRNA from 1 species